CGGGAAGCAGUCAACUCCUAUGUAGAUCUCCGCCGGCUUCUUCCAUUCCAUUUGUCCACCCCGACUCCCCUGAUCUCGCCAUCCUCCUCUCACAGAUCCUCCUCCCUCCCCAUGCACGGCCGCUGCCACCUCCCCACCCAUGGCCAUCUGCCCCUCUGCGUCCCGCAGCCGCCGUGACGAUAGCCUCGUCCCCAGAGGCGGGGACUUCCCUGAAGGCGAACCUAGCGGCGGUACAGUUGAUGUGGGUCGGGCGGCGGUCAGAUCUGCCACAGCCAGAACCGGCGUCCUCUUCCUCCCUAUCCUGCUUCCUCCCAUGACUGAGAAGAGGGCUUUGUCAAGGAUCCCAUGACGGAGAUCAACAUGGGAGGCUGCUUCCUCCGAUCCCAGAUCGACCAUCCGUCGAUGGAGGCCAUGAGAGCCACGUGGUCACACACAUGGCUGCGUUUCAAGCUGCAGCUCGAUAGAUGCAGGGACGCCGCCAUGGAAUAGUCAGGGUCUCCCUUCUCCCGUUUCGUCUGAUCUGCCACUGCCAGCCAUUUCCGGCGCCCCUGCACCACGACGGUGAAGGGCACAAUGAUGAAUUCAACGCAAGAUCCUGCUGGUGAUCCAACAGAUGGGAGCCCAAAAGACGCAAACACAUCUGAUGCCUAAGAAAAGGACUGGCAAAUAAAAUAGGAAUCCAAACUUGCAAAAUUCUCUUUUACAGACCGCUAGUACUACUGGGAUUCUAGGUACAAGGCACAAAGUAAUUGCUCCAAAUACGCUCAUACAAGUUGCAAAAAUGAAUUCUCGAAUGUUUCGACCAAUGGAUCCAAAGAUUUAGCUGGAAUGGACUCUAGACCAUGGACAAUUUAAUAUUCGCUCUUAAUUAGGAUGGCACAUUCAGUAUGUUAAAUGCAUGCUAAAUUAUAUUACGGUUUAUUGUGAUAUGGAUAUUGGCUAUGCAAACUUUGAUGUUUGAUGAAUCUACAUCAUAUAUGCAUUAUUUGAAUCAUGUAAUUGAAUGCCAGUAUUUUUUUUGUUACAGUAGGCUAUUACCACAAGCUACUUUUGGUUGCAACAUGUUGGCACCAUGAAAAAUUAGCGUUGCGUCGCCACGCCGACCUGUUUUGUAGCACUAGGCUGUGGUGACAGAACACUUCAUAUAGUCGCAAUAACUUAUCACCACAAAAUCUCAGUCCGUUGAGAUAACUACUUGUCACCACGGAAUUCAGUUUUGCUGAAAUAGGCCUUUCUCCAUGAAAUGUUCAUAUUGUCGCAACAACCUCUCACCACAAACAGUCUGUUUGUCGUGACAACUAUUUAUCACCACCAAAAGGAGUAUGUUUCAAUUUUAGUAUUACCACGUCUGAAGAGUCGUUGCCAUACUUUACUGCCAUGAACAUAGGGUUCAUGGUGAAAGGACUAUACCCACAAAAAGAAGAGUUGU